rnacentral:rRNA from 1 species
CGGAGGGAAACCGAGUCUUAAUUGGGCGUUAAGUUGCAGGGUAUAGACCCGAAACCCGGUGAUCUAGCCAUGGGCAGGUUGAAGGGUGGGUAACACUAACUGGAGGACCGAACCGACUAAUGUUGAAAAAUUAGCGGAUGACCUGUGGCUGGGGGUGAAAGGCCAAUCAAACCGGGAGAUAGCUGGUUCUCCCCGAAAGCUAUUUAGGUAGCGCCUCGUGAAUUCAUCUCCGGGGGUAGAGCACUGUUUCGGCUAGGGGGCCAUCCCGGCUUACCAACCCGAUGCAAACUGCGAAUACCGGAGAAUGUUAUCACGGGAGACACACGGCGGGUGCUAACGUCCGUCGUGAAGAGGGAAACAACCCAGACCGCCAGCUAAGGUCCCAAAGUCAUGGUUAAGUGGGAAACGAUGUGGGAAGGCCCAGACAGCCAGGAUGUUGGCUUAGAAGCAGCCAUCAUUUAAAGAAAGCGUAAUAGCUCACUGGUCGAGUCGGCCUGCGCGGAAGAUGUAACGGGGCUAAACCAUGCACCGAAGCUGCGGCAGCGACACUGUGUGUUGUUGGGUAGGGGAGCGUUCUGUAAGCCUGCGAAGGUGGCCUGUGAGGGUUGCUGGAGGUAUCAGAAGUGCGAAUGCUGACAUAAGUAACGAUAAAGCGGGUGAAAAGCCCGCUCGCCGGAAGACCAAGGGUUCCUGUCCAACGUUAAUCGGGGCAGGGUGAGUCGACCCCUAAGGCGAGGCCGAAAGGCGUAGUCGAUGGGAAACGGGUUAAUAUUCCCGUACUUGGUGUUACUGCGAAGGGGGGACGGAGAAGGCUAUGUUGGCCGGGCGACGGUUGUCCCGGUUUAAGCGUGUAGGUGUGUGUUCCAGGUAAAUCCGGUUCACUUUAACACUGAGGCGUGACGACGAGGCACUACGGUGCUGAAGCAACAAAUGCCCUGCUUCCAGGAAAAGCCUCUAAGCAUCAGGUAACAUCAAAUCGUACCCCAAACCGACACAGGUGGUCAGGUAGAGAAUACCAAGGCGCUUGAGAGAACUCGGGUGAAGGAACUAGGCAAAAUGGUGCCGUAACUUCGGGAGAAGGCACGCUGACACGUAGGUGAAGUGAUUUACUCAUGGAGCUGAAGUCAGUCGAAGAUACCAGCUGGCUGCAACUGUUUAUUAAAAACACAGCACUGUGCAAACACGAAAGUGGACGUAUACGGUGUGACGCCUGCCCGGUGCCGGAAGGUUAAUUGAUGGGGUCAGCGCAAGCGAAGCUCCUGAUCGAAGCCCCGGUAAACGGCGGCCGUAACUAUAACGGUCCUAAGGUAGCGAAAUUCCUUGUCGGGUAAGUUCCGACCUGCACGAAUGGCGUAAUGAUGGCCAGGCUGUCUCCACCCGAGACUCAGUGAAAUUGAACUCGCUGUGAAGAUGCAGUGUACCCGCGGCAAGACGGAAAGACCCCGUGAACCUUUACUAUAGCUUGACACUGAACAUUGAGCCUUGAUGUGUAGGAUAGGUGGGAGGCUUUGAAGUGUGGACGCCAGUCUGCAUGGAGCCGACCUUGAAAUACCACCCUUUAAUGUUUGAUGUUCUAACGUGGACCCGUUACCCGGGUUGCGGACAGUGUCUGGUGGGUAGUUUGACUGGGGCGGUCUCCUCCUAAAGAGUAACGGAGGAGCACGAAGGUUGGCUAAUCCUGGUCGGACAUCAGGAGGUUAGUGCAAUGGCAUAAGCCAGCUUGACUGCGAGCGUGACGGCGCGAGCAGGUGCGAAAGCAGGUCAUAGUGAUCCGGUGGUUCUGAAUGGAAGGGCCAUCGCUCAACGGAUAAAAGGUACUCCGGGGAUAACAGGCUGAUACCGCCCAAGAGUUCAUAUCGACGGCGGUGUUUGGCACCUCGAUGUCGGCUCAUCACAUCCUGGGGCUGAAGUAGGUCCCAAGGGUAUGGCUGUUCGCCAUUUAAAGUGGUACGCGAGCUGGGUUUAGAACGUCGUGAGACAGUUCGGUCCCUAUCUGCCGUGGGCGCUGGAGAACUGAGGGGGGCUGCUCCUAGUACGAGAGGACCGGAGUGGACGCAUCACUGGUGUUCGGGUUGUCAUGCCAAUGGCACUGCCCGGUAGCUAAAUGCGGAAGAGAUAAGUGCUGAAAGCAUCUAAGCACGAAACUUGCCCCGA